AGCUUGUUGGCGGGGUAAUGGCUCACCUAGGCGACGAUACAUAGCCGACCUGAGAGGGUGAUCGGCCACACUGGGACUGAGACACGGCCCAGACUCCUACGGGAGGCAGCAGUAGGGAAUCUUCGGCAAUGGGGGCAACCCUGACCGAGCAACGCCGCGUGAGUGAAGAAGGUUUUCGGAUCGUAAAGCUCUGUUGUAAGUCAAGAACGGGUGUAAGAGUGGAAAGUUCACACUGUGACGGUAGCUUACCAGAAAGGGACGGCUAACUACGUGCCAGCAGCCGCGGUAAUACGUAGGUCCCGAGCGUUGUCCGGAUUUAUUGGGCGUAAAGCGAGCGCAGGCGGUUUGAUAAGUCUGAAGUUAAAGGCUGUGGCUCAACCAUAGUUCGCUUUGGAAACUGUCAAACUUGAGUGCAGAAGGGGAGAGUGGAAUUCCAUGUGUAGCGGUGAAAUGCGUAGAUAUAUG
rnacentral:rRNA from 1 species